UCCGAUAUGGUGUAGUGGCCAACAUGAUGCCCUCUCAACUAUUGAGAGGUUAGGCAUAGCCCCGAGUUCGAUUCUCGGUUUCGGAA
rnacentral:tRNA from 1 species